rnacentral:rRNA from 1 species
AUACGGAGGGUGCAAGCGUUAUCCGGAAUCAUUGGGUUCAGAGGGUCCGUAGGCGGACUAUUAAGUCAGAGGUGAAAUCCCACAGCUCAACCGUGGAACUGCCUUUGAUACUGGUAGUCUUGAGUUAUAUGGAAGUAGAUAGAAUGUGUAGUGUAGCGGUGAAAUGCAUAGAUAUUACACAGAAUACCGAUUGCGAAGGCAGUCUACUACGUAUAUACUGACGCUGAGGGACGAAAGCGUGGGGAGCGAACAGGAUUAGAAACCCCAGUAGUCC